GAUGAACGCUAGCUACAGGCUUAACACAUGCAAGUCGCGGGGCAGCAUGGGGGUUGCUUGCAAUCCCCGAUGGCGACCGGCGCACGGGUGAGUAACGCGUAUCCAACCUGCCCUUCACCACGGGAUAACCCGGCGAAAGUCGGACUAAUACCGUAUGUUGUCCAUUGACGGCAUCCGAUUUGGACGAAAGGCUUGGCGGUGAGGGAUGGGGAUGCGUCCGAUUAGCCAGACGGCGGGGUAACGGCCCACCGUGGCUACGAUCGGUAGGGGUUCUGGGAGGAAGGUCCCCCACACUGGAACUGAGACACGGUCCAGACUCCUACGGGAGGCAGCAGUGAGGAAUAUUGGUCAAUGGGCGUAAGCCUGAACCAGCCAAGUAGCGUGCAGGAUGACGGCCCUAUGGGUUGUAAACUGCUUUUAUGCGGGGAUAAAGUGGCCCACGUGUGGGCUUUUGCAGGUACCGCAUGAAUAAGGACCGGCUAAUUCCGUG
rnacentral:rRNA from 1 species